rfam:Mesocricetus auratus contig008314, whole genome shotgun sequence.
AAGCUGAAUCAAUCUUUUGUGCUAUCCAUCUAAAAAAACUGAUUAAGAAAAAUGUGGACGGUCGAAGAGGACGACCUUCCCAGAAUAGAGGAGGACCGGUCUUCAGUCAAGGGUAUACGAGUAGCUGCACUUCCCUGCUAGAACCUCCAAACACGCUCUCAAGAAAAAUGUAGAACACAUAGCAUAUAUUAUCAGAACUAUGAACUCU